rnacentral:rRNA from 1 species
CUACGGGGGGCUGCAGUGGGGAAUAUUGGGCAAUGGGCGAAAGCCUGACCCAGCCAUGCCGCGUGAGUGAUGAAGGCCCUAGGGUUGUAAAGCUCUUUCAGUCGUGAAGAUAAUGACGGUAACGACAGAAGAAGCCCCGGCUAACUUCGUGCCAGCAGCCGCGGUAAUACGAAGGGGGCUAGCGUUGUUCGGAAUCACUGGGCGUAAAGCGUGCGUAGGCGGACUAUCAAGUCAGAGGUGAAAUCCCGGGGCUUAACCCCGGAACUGCCUUUGAAACUGGUAGUCUAGAGACUCGGAGGGGAUAGCGGAAUUCCUAGUGUAGGGGUGACAUCCGUAGAGACUAGGAGGAACACCGGUGGCGAAGGCGGCUAUCUGGACGAGUACUGACGCUGAGGUACGAAAGCGUGGGGAGCAAACAGGAUUAGAUACCCCGGUAGUC